CACGAAGGCAGCGCUGGAAAUGGGGGGGGGAGUGGGGGGGGAGGGAAAAGGACUUUUCCCUGGGCUGUGGGACAGGGAGUCGUUUGCAAACUGCAGCUUAACCGCUACCACCACUCCGCAUUGUCAUGCUCUUAAAUGUCCUGAAUUAGGCAGCUCUUAAAAAGUCCCUUUAAACCAGGCGGCGGGGGCGAGCCCUAUUCGCACAACUUCUUGGGGUUGUGCUGCCAUUGAAAAAAAAAAAAAAAAAAAAAAUUAAAAAUAUAAUAAUAAUAGAAACGGGGGGAAAGGCGGGGGGGGGGGGCGCAAAGCGGCGGGGAGGAUGCUGCUGGGUUUUCUCGGUGGAGCGGGGGAGACGGCGGCGAUGCCGGGGCGGCGGCGGAGGGGCGCGGGGUGACCCCCCCAUCACCUCUCAGCCAGCGGCUAAAGAAGAUCUGCAAAGAAUGGUAAAGAAGAUUUUCGAUUAAAACCUUAACCCAUCUCCACGGAUUACUUUAUAUCGAUUCCUAUAUAUAUGGCUGCAAUUGAUGGGCUCUAAUUAAAAAUCCAAAGCGGGGGGGGGAGGAAAUCAAAGUUCUUUCUGGGCCUCAAUAAAAGGAGCUUUUCAUAUACGGGAAAUAAAGGUUGUAAAAGGUUA